rnacentral:tRNA from 1 species
UCCCAGGUGGUUCAGUGGGUUAUAGAUCCAGCAUUGUUACUGCUGUGGCGAGGGUUUGAUCCCUGGCCUGGGAA